rnacentral:lncRNA from 1 species
AAACCGAGAUUCUGUUGGUACAGAGAGAUUGCUGAUUCGAGACGGCCAUCGAACACGUCGGAGAAGUUCUUUGAGCUACCACUACCGUCGUCUUUGACGUAGCCGAAACGGUGGAGGUAUCUUUUGAGCUCGGAUACGCCGCUGACGUGGCUGCCUAGUUGGACGUCUACAAGACGUGAGAAAUCAUGCCGCGUGGCGUUGCUGACUUUUAUUGUUUGAGUUGCUUUUGUUGUAUAUUCAUCUGGGAGGUUUCUGGCGGAGAGCCGGCGAGGGAAACAGAAUAAGAUAACGGAGAUGAUUAAGACAAAACAGAGAGCUCUGUUUCUAUGGGUUAAAUUCAGAGUCAUGGCAAAAAAAGAUUCUGAAAGUUCUGAUUUUAAAUAAGACGUUCCGUGGAGGUAGGAUCGAUCGAGAAGAAAAGUGAAACAGGGAUAGAAAAAGUAGAAUAUUUAUAUAGAUUCUGACGUGAGGAUUACCUUUAAACCCAAAAUGAAUCUGGAAGUUGGACUAUGACUUGGAAGUUGCUUCGGUUGGGUCAACUGAAUCAUGUCCGGUCUAGGAAUACAAUGUGAAGGUCCUUGUCCUAAUAGAACAAUUUUUUUUGGGCACGAAUCCUAAUAGAACAACUAAUAACCCAUAUAAAUCCUGCCACAGAUUAACUUUAAUUAGAUGGGCAUGCAUGCUUUUAUUUAUGACAACCAUAUUGUAUUUACCUAUCAUUCUUUCUUGUAUCUAAAACGACUUAUCUGGCGAGAUUUAGAGCAUAAUUAACCAUAAAGUCCAUUAGGGUCUCUUAAUGAAUAUUUAAAUAAUAAAGUUAAGCUAAAAAAUUUUGUUAAGAGACAAUUAGUUUUAGUGCUCCAUGCAAGAACUCUCCUAAAGAUUUUUAAAUAAAAAAGUCAAAGAUUCUGAAAUCAAAUCUACAAUUUAGCAAGAAAAUUUAGGAGUCAUGAGCAUACAAUAUAGAUGAUCCGUCAAGCUCCCAAUUGCCAUAUAUUUGUAGAUAAGGAACCUGGAAACUCUCAGGUUUGAUGAGCAGAGGAGAAAGAAAGGAAGCAAAAGUGUAAUAAUAGUUCACCUCUCGUUCUUCUUAGCAGAAAAGCCUUUCAAAGCAACUAGAUGGCGGUGAUGCAGCCUGGCGGGAACCUCUAUCUCUCUGCAAAACUCAUAUUCUGUUGUAAAGAAAUAACAAACUCAGUCUUUCAAUGAAUUCUCCAUGUAAAUUAAGAAAUAACAAAAUUCACCUGAAUCAUUAUCCGCAACCAUUGACUUCUCAAGUUUCCCUUUCGCUUAAAAAACAAAGUAGUUGACUUUAGUCACACAGUCUCAAAACAUUCCAUGAUCAUCAUCACUGAGUUCUCAAACAAACAAAAAGCAUAAUCAAGAAGAUGAUUGAUUGAUUGAUAGUGCCAAGUUGAUGAAAUGAUCACAUUCCUCAUCUGUAAGAAGUCCCUUGUACAAAAACACCCUGCAGAAGACAUCACAUACUUAGAUCUUCAAAACAAUCAAACCGCAAAGUUCUUUCUUUUUUAGUAGCAAAAGCGACAAACAGACGAACCUAGGAGUCCAAGAGAGCUGAGUGACACAACUUGGAUCAAUAAACAAGAAUGUUGGUAGCUUCAUAUUGAUACAACAUUUUAAUAAACAUUUUAACCCUUCUUCCAACUCAUAACAAUAAUCAUCAUUAGUAUCUAUAACAAUAAUACUUAAGAAAUAGAAACAAACAAUAGUAACUAGUCAAGGAAUAUCAUAUUUUUUAUUUGAAAAACUUAGUCAAAUUUAGUAAAACUAAAGGAGAGAACAUAUUUUGUAAAUAUGAGUUUUACAUAUCUUGAAGUUACUUAUCACUCUUAAAAAUUCAAGUUAUUCAAAAACUAGCGUAGAAGACUUAAAAACUAGCGGAGAAGACUUCCAUGAAAGUCUUCUCGGAUCAGUUAGAAACUUUAAUUAACGUGAAUGUUGGUAACCUCAUAAAUAUCACCAAUUAAGUUAUAAAUUUCAUUCAGUAGCCCAAAUAUUCAUUAAUAAACAUGAAUUAAUAAGGAAAUGUUAAAAAGUCUUUAUAGUUUUAGAGAAAAUGCAAGUUUAUUAAACAUUGACGCAAACGACAUCCACAGAGGUCUUUCGCCACAACAAUCUGAAUUUGGUGUAAGCAUUACAUCUAUCCCUACAAUCAUAGACACUUCAAAAUUUGAACAAUAUAUGUACUGUGCUAUAUCGUUUCUCACAUUUUCUAUUCUAUAGACUCAUGUAGAAUGGAAAUGUAAGUUACUUGGGGGUUUAGUUUAUGAAAAAUUGGGGUUGACAUUGGAUUAAGAUUUAUAUUUUCAUAUAUGAUUUAGUGAAGCUCCGAUGAGAUGUCACGUGCCCCAUGUAUCCCUUUAUCUUCCUUCACCAAAAGCACACUAACACAGAUGAGGAGUGGACCACAUUGGAAGCUGCUCCAAUGUUCAUCUCCAAUAUGGACAACAACUCAUCUCCACUCCUAGAGAUUAAGAUGUGGUCAUGGCGUGCAGCAACCAACAGAAGCCUCAAAGCAGCUGCUUUCAUAAUUGGUACACGAUCUAUGUUUGCUAACAUCAAGAUUGGUUUGGAGAUGUGAUUUGUUGCAAAAGAGUAAACAUCAAGGGCUUGAUCCAUCUCAGCCAAAACACAUGACAACCUAAUUCCACCUUCUUUCUUUCUCCAUCCCCUUGAUGACCAAUUCUCCCAAUGAGGUUUCUUGGCAACCAAUUUGCAAACCUCAGUUUUGAAUAGCUCUAUAACCCUUGGACUUCCUUUGGAGAUCAAGAUUCUGAAGAGUUGAAGCACCACUCUCCUUCUGCUCUUAGGGUGAGAGGAGUCUUCCAUGUCUUGAGUGAUGAACUUCCUAAAAUCCUUCCAAAACAAGGUCUUCUCUUCAGCUGUUACUUGGAUGUUUUCAACAACCACAUCCUUGAUCACCUUCCUCACAGUCCCUUUCUCUUCAAGCACCUUGCAGCAGUCAUCCUUUUCAAGCACCAUCAUCAUGAAGAACAUGUGACUUGUUGGAAUUCUCCAUUUGAUGGAAAGCUCCAAGAGACUCCUAAAACUCUUCUUUAGAUCUUCAGAUUCUCUUCCCUCCAACUGCAGCUGAGGAAAAAACAUGUCGUGGAAGGUCUGUCUGUAAAACACAAAUCAAAAUUUAAGAUUAGACACCGAGAAAAAUUUAUGUUGUUUCAAUAACAAAGACAAGCACACACAAUUCUGUUUCAAUCUCAAGACAAAACACACAACUCAGUUUCAAUCACAACACAAACACACAAUUCAGUAUCAAUCACAACACAAACACACAAUUAUGUUCUCAUAUUAAACUAAAUGUUAAUGAUCCAUUGACUUUUUUAUCAACCAUAAAUGCUGUGCACUUUUUAAUUUUCAAAUAUAUUUUUUUCAAUUUCCACCUAUCCAUAUUUCUUCAUCUUAUUCUCCAUCUCUACGCGAGUUCAAGUUUCUGUAAAAAAUCCAUCUAUAUUUUUUUUCUUUUCAUGCACACAAAUAGUCUUUUAUUCAUUCGUUAUAUCAAAUCUACUAACACAUCUAACUAAAUCAAAGCAAACUAACAGGAUAACUAUCUUCAAUUUACAAAUCAAUGAAAAAACAAGGGUCCACCUAGAUUUAAAUAUAUAAACCGGGUUUUUCAAUAAAACCGGGUCACCGGUUCUUACGGGUUUUGGGCGGUUUUACUGGUUCAACUCAAAUCCGGUUUUUGAACUAACCCGGACUCGGCUAAAUGAAGGAGUCACGGUUGGACCGGUCCGGUUUGGUUUUCAAAACCUUGCAGGCGAGUCUUGUCGAAAAGGACAGAGUUGUUUGAGUUGAAAGUAAAUCCGGUUUGAUUAGAGAGGGAAGAGGUUUCUGAGUCAGCUCGUCGUCAUGAGACACUCACUCGCCUUUUUUUCUGAAUUUGAAAUUGAACCAAACGGAGCACAAUAAAAAUCCGGUUCAGUCUUAAACCGUUUGAAAGGUUUAUUCAGAUUUCUCGGUUUGAAAUUCAAAUCAGUUUUGAUAAUCAUUUAGAGGGUUAUCGAUGAUUUUUUUGGAUUCAAGUUUCUGUCAUGUAUGUGGUAUGAACCAUAAAGUUGUAUCAAGAUAUUAGAGGGAUGAUAUAUUAUCAAAAUUUAUUAAAAGAAAUAUAUAUAUAUAUAUAUAUAUAUAUAUAUAAAAUUUUGUGAUCCAUGGUUUAAAAUUUUUGUUAUUAAAUGAUACAAAUGAUUACAAAAUAAUAUAUAAGUUGAAAAUCUCAUUUACUAAGUAUUAAAAUUAAAAGAAAUAUAUAUAUAUAUAUAUAUAUCAUUUUAAAUUAAACUAUAUGCCAUAUAAAAAUACAUAAAUAUUUUAAUUUUGAAAUUUACUUUGAACAUAUAUAAUUAUUUACUUUGAACAUAUGAAUAAAAAAGUCAGCACCUAUUAUUUAAUUUUGAAAUUUAUUUAUAUGUCCGCACCAAUUUAAUUAUAUAAAUAAUAGUUACUGACUUUUUUAUUAUUAAAUAUAUAUUUAUAAUUUCAUAAUAUGUUAAAAAAAUAUAAUACAUAAAAAAAAUUAUAUAUAUAAUAUUUAUUCCGCGUAAGCGCAGAUCUUAACCUAGUUAGUUAAGAAAAAGGAAUAUGGAUCAUUUAAGCUACCUUUUUAAAAUUAUGUUUCUUUAUUUCGCGCCUUACGAAUUAUUUUGUUUGUGUAACAGAUGGAGGAAAACUCAUAUAAUUUUAUUGACUAGAGUUGUAAAACAAAGAGAGAGUAGAUUUUAUUCUAUAUACUAGGAUAAGACCUGCGCCUUACGUAGGGUAAAUUUAUAUGAAAAUUAUUUAAGAAAUAUCGUAUAGAAAAAAAAUUUAAUAGAUGUUAAUAUUAAAAUAUAUUGUAUAUAUGUUACUAUCAUUUAAAUUUAAUUAUAUACCACAUCAAACAGAAAAAAUAUUUUUUUGGAUAAUAAAAUUUAUUUAUAUGUCCGCACCAAUUUAAUUAUAUAAAUAAUAGUUACUGGCUUUUUUAUUAUUAAAUAUAUAUUUAUAAUUUCAUAAUAUGUUAAAAAAAUAUAAUACACAAAAAAUUAUAUAUAUAAUGUUCAUUCCGCGUAAAGCGCGAAUCUUAACCUAUUUAGUUAAGAAAAAGGAAUAUGGAUCAUUUAAGCUAUCUUUUUAAAACGAUGUUUCUUUAUUUCGCGCCUUACGAAUUAUUUUGUUUGUGUAACAGAUGGAGGAAAACUCAUAUAAUUUUAUUGACUAGAGUUGAAAAAAAAAAGAGAGUAGAUUUUAUUCUAUAUACUAGGAUAAGACAUGCGCCUUGUGCAUGGUAAAUUUAUAUGAAAAUUAUUUAAGAAAUAUCGUAUAGAAAAAAAAUUUAUAUUAUUGAUCGAAUUAAUAUAUUUGGCCCUUAAACAAUUUUUUAAAAUUUUUUGGUUAAUUACAUAAUUUGUUUACUAAUGAACUGAUCCCAUUUUUAAAAAUAUUUUAGGUCAAAAAAAAUCAAAACAACCAACAGAGCAUAACCGGUAACAUUCCCCGACAAGAAUCUCUCUGAUACGCCGCCGUUUCGGAGAGAAUCUUUCAGCUCCGCCAGUGAAUCCAACCGUAACUUCGGAUUCGGCCCAUAUAGCCUGAGUACACCUGCCACGUCAUCAACCGUAAGGUCAACCUUCUUGGUCCUUGGCGGGAGAAUCGGAUACAUAACCGCUGACUCACGCGAGCUGUGUCCUAACCCCAGCAAGUGACCAAUCUCGUGAGUCGCCACAGACUCCAAGUCAACUGCAACCUUUGAUCCGAAGUCGUCGUUGACGACCCACGUCUCCGCCGCGUCGAAGUGGACCCGUCCGUUCUUCGGCGCGAAGGCGUGUGCUAAAGUCCCGAGGACUCCGUCAAACGGCUUCCCGUCACCGUGAUCCCCGGCGAAAAACCCGAUCUUUAAAUUCGCCGUCGUGUAAUCAUCGACCUCCUUGAAACUCACCGGAAUCACGCUCGCCCACCGGCCGAACGCUCGUCGGAAAACCGUUUUGACGUCGUCGGACGUCGGGUAAUCGAGUUUGUGUGUUUCCGAGAAGGCGUACGUUAGCGUGUCGCGGUUCCACUUCGGCUUACCGCCGAAGUACGUGUAACGCGCCGUCACGUGCAUGCCGUUGUUGAUCAUGUGUGUAUCGCUAACGCCACAUCGCGGUGACGACAUGAGGGUGACGGUACUCGUGUCGAGUCUCCCGGUUAUCGGUAAACCGAGAUUCUGUUGGUACAGAGAGAUUGCUGAUUCGAGACGGCCAUCGAACACGUCGGAGAAGUUCUUUGAGCUACCACUACCGUCGUCUUUGACGUAGCCGAAACGGUGGAGGUAUCUUUUGAGCUCGGAUACGCCGCUGACGUGGCUGCCUAGUUGGACGUCUACAAGACGUGAGAAAUCAUGCCGCGUGGCGUUGCUGACUUUUAUUGUUUGAGUUGCUUUUGUUGUAUAUUCAU